rnacentral:rRNA from 1 species
GACAGAGGGUGCAAACGUUGUUCGGAAUUACUGGGCGUAAAGCGUGUGUAGGCGGCCACGUAAGUCGGAUGUGAAAGCCCCGGGCUCAACCCGGGAAGUGCACUCGAUACUGCGUGGCUUGAGUACUGGAGAGGUUGGUGGAAUUCUCGGUGUAGAGGUGAAAUUCGUAGAUAUCGAGAGGAACACCGGUGGCGAAGGCGGCCAACUGGACAGAUACUGACGCUGAGACACGAAAGCGUGGGGGAGCAAACAGG